CCAGUGCUUGAAGUGGAGAAAAAAGGUGCCGGUAUUCUCUUACAUUGGCAAAUCAUUAUGACAUUUGAGAUUUCUGCAGUGAAAAACAAGUCUUGGAGAUAAUGCCGGUACAACAGCAAU